GACGAACGCUGGCGGCGUGCUUAACACAUGCAAGUCGAACGAUGAAGCGGUGCUUGCACCGUGGUUUAGUGGCGAACGGGUGAGUAAUACGUGAGUGACCUACCUUUGACUCUGGGAUAAGCCUGGGAAACUGGGUCUAAUACCGGAUACGACCAAUCUCUGCAUGGGGUGUUGGUGGAAAGCGUUAUGGAGUGGUUUUAGAUGGGCUCACGGCCUAUCAGCUUGUUGGUGAGGUAAUGGCUUACCAAGGCGACGACGGGUAGCCGGCCUGAGAGGGUGACUGGCCACACUGGGACUGAGACACGGCCCAGACUCCUACGGGAGGCAGCAGUGGGGAAUAUUGCACAAUGGGCGCAAGCCUGAUGCAGCGACGCCGCGUGAGGGAUGACGGCCUUCGGGUUGUAAACCUCUGUUAGCAUCGAAGAAGCGAAAGUGACGGUAGGUGCAGAGAAAGCGCCGGCUAACUACGUG
rnacentral:rRNA from 1 species